AGCCUGUGACUUCCUCUUAGUUAUGUCCACCCUCUUGCAUGGUCAACAUCCAAUGGUGAACAUUUAUUGGGGUAUUCAAUCUUGAGAUGUUGGCCAUUUAUUGGGGGUCAUAAAUCAUGGGCAGACUUUUUAUCUAAUUAUGUUACCUGUUAAAAUCAAUCAGGGUUGAAGUUUUCAGCUGGUAUGUUUCAUUAAAAUUUACCUGUACAGGUAACUUGGGUUUCUUUUUAAAAUUGACAUUUCACCUUUUUUUGAAAAUGUAGAAUAAAGUAUUGUAUUACUCUGUUAAUUUAUUAUUAUUUUAUGUCUUUAAUGUUAUUUAUUUUUUUUUUAUUUUUUUUAAUUGUUUUUUUUUUUCAUUUUUGUUUGUUUUGUUUCUUACUGUUUUGUUUCUUAUUCUUUUAAUUUCUGCUUAGUAAGAAUCUUGAGACGAAAUGGCAAAAAGUCAAAGCCAAAGUUAUUGACUAGCAUUUGAAAUAAACAUGAUAAACAGACUUUUAAUAAUUG
rnacentral:lncRNA from 1 species